rnacentral:tRNA from 1 species
GCGGGAGUAACUCAGUUGGUAGAGUACCUGCCUUCCAAGCAGGCUGUCGCCGGUUCGAGUCCGGUCUCCCGCUCCA